GCUUGCUGCUCUGCUGACGAGUGGCGGACGGGUGAGUAAUGUCUGGGGAUCUGCCCGAUGGAGGGGGAUAACCACUGGAAACGGUGGCUAAUACCGCAUAACGUCGCAAGACCAAAGUGGGGGACCUUCGGGCCUCACACCAUCGGAUGAACCCAGAUGGGAUUAGCUAGUAGGUGGGGUAACGGCUCACCUAGGCGACGAUCCCUAGCUGGUCUGAGAGGAUGACCAGCCACACUGGAACUGAGACACGGUCCAGACUCCUACGGGAGGCAGCAGUGGGGAAUAUUGCACAAUGGGCGCAAGCCUGAUGCAGCCAUGCCGCGUGUAUGAAGAAGGCCUUCGGGUUGUAAAGUACUUUCAGCGGGGAGGAAGGGAGUGAGGCUAAUAACCUCAUUCAUUGACGUUACCCGCAGAAGAAGCACCGGCUAACUCCGUGCCAGCAGCCGCGGUAAUACGGAGGGUGCAAGCGUUAAUCGGAAUUACUGGGCGUAAAGCGCACGCAGGCGGUCUGUCAAGUCGGAUGUGAAAUCCCCGGGCUCAACCCGGGAACUGCAUUCGAAACUGGCAGGCUAGAGUCUCGUAGAGGGGGGUAGAAUUCCAGGUGUAGCGGUGAAAUGCGUAGAGAUCUGGAGGAAUACCGGUGGCGAACGCGGCCCCCUGGACGAACACUGACGCUCACGUGCGAAAGCGUGGGGAGCAU
rnacentral:rRNA from 1 species